rnacentral:lncRNA from 1 species
ACUAACAAAUAAAAAUAAAAAAGAUAAAUUUUGAACUAUUUUUUAAUUUUAAUUUUAAUUUUUCUUGAACCAUUUGGUUCGGUUUUGAGCCGAACCAAAUGCCCACCCCUACUUUUGUUUAAGAUUAACACUUAGAUUGAAUCGUGGCUGCUAUCUGCAGAGUCAGCUGUUUUAACACAGUGAUAAUAAUGAGGUUUGGCAAAAAUAAGAAAAAAAAAAUUGGACAUUUAUUUAUUUUUGUUUCAUUUCUAGAACAUGCUUACACACUUCAUUAAAUUCUCCACAGAAAAUGAGAAGGAAUUUACUGAUGAAAUCAACUGAAAUUUUUUCGAAACCGAGAAUUGAUACUUGUGCCUAAAGGACACGUUUUGUGGGGUCUUAUUAUUGGAUAAGCAACCGAAAAGCCUUUAUUAGUUUAUGGGACAUGCGUGUUUGACAUUUACUAGUCUUUUCUCUCUGUUGGUUGCUUCAUGUAUAGAACAUGAAUUUCAACACAAUUCAAUUUACAAGAGUACCCAUUUGUGCAAUUACUAAUCAAUUAUUUAAUGAACCCCUUCAUGGACAUUU